UAGGGAAUCUUCCGCAAUGGACGAAAGUCUGACGGAGCAACGCCGCGUGAGUGAUGAAGGCCUUCGGGUCGUAAAACUCUGUUGUUAGGGAAGAACAAGUAUCGGAGUAACUGCCGGUACCUUGACGGUACCUAACCAGAAAGCCACGGCUAACUACGUG
rnacentral:rRNA from 1 species